CGAAAGAGGUUCGCAACAAUGAAGACUGCUAAUCUUCAUCCCCCUCGGUUAAACUCCGGGGCUCAUUCGACUC
rnacentral:tRNA from 1 species